CUCGAAGGGCCGAAUGGCCUACUCCUGCACCUAAUUUCUAUUGUGUUAUAAUCCAUUCCAUUAAUCCAUAUAAUUCCAGUCGAUCUGCCAUUCUUCACAGCUGUUAUAGUCCACCUUUAUUAUUCGUAAUAAGAACGUACAUCGGAUAUAA